UGGGGAAUUUUCCGCAAUGGGCGCAAGCCUGACGGAGCAAGACCGCGUGGGGGAGGAAGGCUCUUGGGUUGUAAACCCCUUUUCUCUGGGAAGAACAAAAUGACGGUACCAGAGGAAUCAGCAUCGGCUAACUCCGUGCCAGCAGCCGCGGUAAGACGGAGGAUGCAAGCGUUAUCCGGAAUGAUUGGGCGUAAAGCGUCCGCAGGUGGCAGUUCAAGUCUGCUGUCAAAGACCGGGGCUUAACUUCGGACAGGCAGUGGAAACUGAACAGCUAGAGUAUGGUAGGGGCAAAGGGAAUUCCCGGUGUAGCGGUGAAAUGCGUAGAGAUCGGGAAGAACAUCGGUGGCGAAAGCGCUUUGCUGGACCAUAACUGACACUCAGGGACGAAAGCUAGGGGAGCGAAUGGGAUUAGAUACCCCAGUAGUC
rnacentral:rRNA from 1 species